UUUAUGGAGAGUUUGAUCCUGGCUCAGGAUGAACGCUGGCGGCGUGCCUAAUACAUGCAAGUCGAGCGAACGGACGAGAAGCUUGCUUCUCUGAUGUUAGCGGCGGACGGGUGAGUAACACGUGGAUAACCUACCUAUAAGACUGGGAUAACUUCGGGAAACCGGAGCUAAUACCGGAUAAUAUUUUGAACCGCAUGGUUCAAAAGUGAAAGACGGUCUUGCUGUCACUUAUAGAUGGAUCCGCGCUGCAUUAGCUAGUUGGUAAGGUAACGGCUUACCAAGGCAACGAUGCAUAGCCGACCUGAGAGGGUGAUCGGCCACACUGGAACUGAGACACGGUCCAGACUCCUACGGGAGGCAGCAGUAGGGAAUCUUCCGCAAUGGGCGAAAGCCUGACGGAGCAACGCCGCGUGAGUGAUGAAGG
rnacentral:rRNA from 1 species